rnacentral:lncRNA from 1 species
GCAGGCAUGCAGGGGAGAGGGAAAGGAAACAAAACAAGACAAAAAAAACCAAACACACACAAACAAAAGAUGUUUAUUGCAAAGCUACAGUCCCAGACUAACCUGGAGGGAUGUUUGAAUUCUGGAAAACCUUACGGAUAAGCCUCGCAAUUAUGUACUUAGUCACAACCAGAGGGGAGGAACUUUGAAGGCACUGGAUUGAAGAGACACAAAAGUCAGGAAGUGACCCUUUCGUGGGGACUGCAGAGGCCACAGAGGAGAAACAAAGUCCCUUCACAACCAGGGAAGACGGACCGUACCAUCCCGGGGGGCCGGAGUGGGGAAGAGGGCGGUGGAAACUGACAUCCUCGCUCUCAAGGAGCCGGCGAGGACACGGGAUUUCCCGACUGAAAAGCCUCAGUGUUCGCCUGUCCCUGCACAGCCUCUCCCCCUCCGUGGAGGCCUGGGUCCGGCAGCCCGGGGGCGCCCUGCAUCACCGCUCUGUGCGCGGGCGGGGCCGCGCUCCCCGGCCUGGAGAUGGAUGGCGUGCCCGAGCCAGCCCAUCUGCGGCCGCGGCUGGUCCGGGAGGAAGCCGUCCCCGGGGAUGAAUGGGGCUUUGUUCGCUGCCAGCCGCGCUCCCCUCGCGGCCCGGCCCGGCACAACGGAGGCAGUAUGCGACAGGCAUGGAAAUGAGCCGCGGGCUCUCCCCUCGCAGCGCCCAGGAAUGCUGGCCAGCCGGAAAGGAGCCCUCGCUGGGGACCCGCUCCCGCGCCUCUGAAACCCCCAUUGAGAAGGGCUCUUUGAAGCAAUUAAAGCGCGUUUCACGGCGGCCCGGGAGGGGGCCCUGGCCGGCCAGCUUCUCUUUUUACCCCUCUUCUCUGUCCGAUCGUGUUUGUGCACCUUGGUGUGGCGAGUUACCUAGAAACCAGGCCAGAACCCGCUCCCUCUCUUGCAGAGAUUCUGUAACCUCACAAAAGUGUCCCCAUAAACAGAUUGCUUGUCACCAGGGGGCGGGGGUGUGUGCGGGCUAGAACCCAGUUUGGACUUGCUCCAAGCUGACCUGCAGAGCCUGGGUUCCUGCUUCCAAAGGCUUCUUUGCUGGGCUCUGCACCCACCUGCCCUGCAGUCAGGUUUAGGCAGACAGAAAUUGCCUCUAGAUGAAAAAGUCCUGAGGCUGCGGCUCAGCAUUUUCCAUUUUCUCAGUGGUGGGGUGGGCCGCGUUCAGGUCUAGAAGUGAUGUCACAACCAGCCCUGUAAAGUGAUGUAACCUGCACUUGUUGAAGGACUAGGACCGGGCUGCUAUUUUGAGACUCUUGAGUUCCUUCCUUCCUCCCUGGAGAAAAGUGGGUGACUGGACAACUCACAAAGCCGCUCUGGGUACAGCGGUUUUCGUUUGUUACAGGGGAAAAUCCUAAGGCUCAGGAACUGAUUCCAUGAAAGAAGGAUGAGAUUCCUUCUAAACUGGAGGUGGGCACCUUAUAUAUAUGCCCAUGGGGCAAGUGUGUGAACUGAAGGCCCAGUAACACCCAUAUAAAAAGAUUUCAUUGAGUUCUCUAGUUGAUUUUAUAGUGCUUUCCUCUAGGACCGAGAGUUAAGUCUGUCUCUUCCCCCAGCAGGUGCUUCCUAGAGAACACGAGAUUCUUUUGUUGUAGCUUUGCUUUGUUUGUUGUGUUUCUGAGACUUGGUUCUUGAAUUUCCCUCUGUAGCCAAGAAUGGUGGUAUAUUCCGGAUCGGCCUGCCUCUACCUCCCAAGUGCUGGAGUUCAGGCGUGUGCUGCCUUGUGCAUCUGUGAUCUCCUGGGGGGGGGGGGUUGUUUGUUUGUUUUGUUUUGUUUUGUUUAGAAGUAUGGGACAGGUUCUGUGUUCAGAGCAGGUCCUUAACAAUACUUAUGCUUAGCAAAUGCAUUCAAUGAAGGAGUGAAUGAAGUCCGAUCCUCUGUUUUGUUUGUUUUGUUGUUUUGUUUUGUAUAAUUCCAAACGAGAAGUAGAAGUAGUGAGCACAAGGUGGUUCCUGGGCAAGGAAGACGUUGAGAAGUUUGAAGGGAAGGUUGGGAAACAUUUUCGAGAGCACAAACAUGCCUCAAAUGUUUCCUGAAAUGACCCAGAGGAGAGCAGGCACUCAGGUGGGGGACUCAUUCUUUCCAAGUUUGGGGUUGGUUGGUUCUGGCUAACAUGAAUCAUGUUUUACGUCAGGGAGGAGUGUACCCUGUCCAUCAUUCACUCUUUAAGCAUGCCAUGGAAACAGGAUGGUCAGUCAGAGUCAUGGCUGUGCGUGGUAAGCAUCAUUGCUGCUUAUGUGCUACUCCAGUGUCUCCAUGGUGAUUGUUACCUGGGGCUUGGCUUAUACUUCUGUUUGGAUAUUUUUUCUUUGAGGCUUGGAAUAUAUGAUUUUUUUUUCUGAACACACACACACACACACACACACACACACCGUCAGUCAGGAAGCAAAUGAACAUGAGAUGGAAGAGGAGAAUGCCCUACCUCAAGCAUAAUCCCAGCAUCUCUUCUCUUUCUCUCCUCUCUCUCCCUCUCUCUCUCUCUCCUCUCUCUUCUCCUUACACACACAGAGCAAGUGAUGGGUAGUCCACUUCAAGAAUGGUGCCCCAGUGUUUCCUUAUUUACUAGGGCAUAGUCUGACCACCAGCAUGUUGCUGUACACAUUAACUUCCUUUCUUAUUCUGGGGUUUCAUCUGACUGCCAUUCUGGUCUCCAUUUUGCCUUUGUAUAGACAGCCUCUCUGACAGCUGAGAUCCUCUCUCAACUUGAUUCAUUCUCUUUAGCCUUGUAGACACGACUGGCCAACACAGCGAAAAGCCCCACAGAUGAGGUACCUGGGCUAGAGCACAGGCCACACACUGGCAUGAGAGCAGUGGCCCUCACACAGGGACCUGGUGAGUGCUCUGGAAUCAAGUCAUCCUGUUUCUUUCUGCCUUUCAGCUUGGUCACGAGCAGGCAGUGGUCUUAGCAAAUAGUAACAAUCCAAAAGUCAAAUGCUGUGUGGUGGUACACACUAGCAAUCUUAGCAUUUGGGAAGUGGGUUGAGAGUUCAAGGGUUAUUCUUCGCUACGCAAUGAGUUUGAGGCCAGCCCAGGGACACUCAGAAACUCUGUCUCAAUUACUCUAAAAGGGUUAAACAACAAACAUAAAUAUGACCACUAAUCAGAAUUAAGAUUGUUUCUCCAGUCUCUGUCCCUGAAAGAUCCUUCAGGCAUCUGGGGUUCUAAAGCCAGGGCAGCCUCCAGUGAAGUGAGCAGACUGAAUAGAGAGACAAACACAAAGUGCCUUUUUCAAUCUGAUAAGCUCACAGAAGUUCUGUCACACAUUGCCAUUUUUUUUUCCAGGAAUGAAUUAUUGGCUUUUUUUUUUUUUUGAGCCUUGUAAUUUGUCCAUUAACUAGAAAAAUGCCCAGAAGACCUCACUUUUAUUUACCAGCUGACCCGCGACCUUAAUGAGGCUUCUCUAAAGGGUAGGAUGGAGAGUUUUAUUUGUCUUUGUCUUGUGUUUGGGGUUAAAAAAAAAGAAAGAAAGAAAGAAAAAGAAAAAGAAAAAAAAAAAGGAGAAGCUGCCUCAUUCAACAGUCUUUUGGUCCCUAAAAUAAACCCCACUCCCCCUAGCAGUGCUAUUUACUCAAUCUCCGGGCUACUAAGUGUAGGGGUGGUCCUUGUUGACUUAAAUGAGUCCCUGCAGCUAGGUGGGGCUCUCUGGAGUCCUUAGUCAUGUGAGGUUGCCAGGGUAACUUAACGUCUCCAGCACUGGAAUGCUUUAAGACGUACAAAGAGGAGACUACAGAGCGCAUUACAACUUACAGUCAUGUGUUCAAUAACAUGCCAUCUUUUCGUAAUGGGGCUUUUAUUUUUACUUUAUUUUGUGGGAUUGAAAGAUCAGAAGCCGGAAAUUAGCUGGAAAGGAU